AGUAGCGUGGCUCAGUGGAAAGAGCACGGGUUGGGGACCCAGAGGUCAUGGGUUCAAAUCCCAGCUCCGCCG
rnacentral:tRNA from 1 species